GCCGCGUUCGUCUAACGGCUAGGACAUUGCCCUCUCACGGCAAAAAUACGGGUUCGAUUCCCGUACGCGGUACCA
rnacentral:tRNA from 1 species